GUAAAUCCACUAGCUCCAAAAAUCACUGCGUCGAACCUUCUCGUCAUGGUUAGACUGGACAAGCAGAGGAAAUUUUCCAAUAAUUUUUGAUUAAGGAUUAUGGAAGGAUUUGGAUUAUGGACUUUAUUUACUAAAAAAUAGAUCCAUUGUCGUGACUUGCGUCGAUCCACGCCAAUAUUAGCGUUCGCAUGGAAAGCUGGCAUUUGUAUGAUAUCUUCAUUUGUUGUCAACAAGACUCUGAAAUCUUUGAUGCCACGUUCCUUAAUGCACUAGAAAUGAUAGGUUAAAUAAAGAACAAAACAGUUAACAAUUUAGCUGUGUCAGCCUUUGUUAUUUAUUUGAAAGCGUUAAAUAAAUUACCGAUGGUAAUCUAAGAGUUUUUCAACUCAAACUUUAUGUUUAUGACCACAAUGCAUGCGCGAUCUGAACGUUUUUGACAUUACAAUAAAAAAUUGCUAUUUGGAUCCAA